rnacentral:rRNA from 1 species
UACAGAGGGUGCAAGCGUUAAUCGGAAUUACUGGGCGUAAAGCGUGCGUAGACGGUUGCGUAAGUCAGAUGUGAAAGCCCCGGGCUCAACCUGGGAAUUGCAUUUGAGACUGCGUAGCUAGGGUGCGGAAGAGGGAAGCGGAAUUUCCGGUGUAGCGGUGAAAUGCGUAGAGAUGCGGAGGAACACCGAUGGCGAAGGCAGCCCCCUGGCUAGCACGUGACGCUCAGGCACGAAAGCGCUGGGGAGCAAACAGG